AAUUCUCAACCGUUAUUAAUUUAGCGGCUUGGAUGUGUGGGUUGCCGGCUUACGUCAGCUCCCAUCAAAUGCAUUAGCCGGUGCCGUACGGGCGUCUAUUUUGGUGUGAUAAUUAUCUACGCCGGUGGACUCUGUCAUUUGCACUGCUUCUAACCGUCCCUUGACUUGGACAAUUCUUGACA
rnacentral:misc_RNA from 1 species